rnacentral:lncRNA from 1 species
UCAGGGCCCUCGUAACUGUUAAUCCCAUUUGUGCUUUUCGAGGGCUUGAACACUCGCUAUCUGAAGUGAGUGGUUUUCCAGGGUGAGUUCCCUCGCUCUUUUGACUGACACAUAACAUUACUAAGGGACAUAACCCUCACUCCUUGAUAUCAACAUUUUAUGAGGGUCAUAGCCAUCGUCCCUUUUAGUAUACACGUUCAGGCACAUCUUCUUCCCUAUUACUUACUUUCUUCCUCAUUUCUUCUUUUCUUCAAUUACAAACUCUCUAUUCAAUCCACUCUAAUCUUUUUCUCAGUUUCAUUCUUUGUUAUCUCCAUUUUCAUUUUAUCUUUACGAUCUUCGUAUAUAAAUUACUUUGUAUAUUUGUUAUAUUCUGUUUUUUUAUUAUAUUGUUUUUUUAUGUAGUUGUUGAGUUAAUAUACCAGUAGAAAUAUUUGUAUGAGGAGAAAAAAACAACAAGCAAGACUCGGCUUUUUGCUUCUGGUUAGAUUUUAUAUUCAAAUUGCAUACUCGGGUGCUUAUUAAGAUAAUGUGAAUGAAUACUUCUCUUUUUGGCCUCCUCUUUAUAACCUCAUUUCUUAGGGUUUAUCAAGUUCAAGGGUACGAUAAAAACUCCCCAUUUCUCGGACUCCAUUGUGAGGAGCAAAUACUAUCCCCCAUUUUUUUGUAAUGAAUCGUUUCCCUAGUUUGUGGGUUUGGUCAAUCGGUCUAUGUUCUUUUUAUGUUCAGAACGAGCUUUUUCAAAGUUUGGCCCAACGUUUGUGGUGAGGCCAGUCUACAACCCACCAAACAUAAGGCCUGAAAAGGUUGGCAUGCUUAACGGUAGCAGAAGUCCAACGCAUGGUCGAUCAACAAACCCCAAGCAUGAUGCUUGAAAGGUUGAAAUGCUUAAGUACAAUUAGAAGACCGAUGUGUGUGGCCUAAAAGAUUAAAAAUAUUUUAAAGAAAUGUAUCCUCUGAGGAUUAGACUAAGAUAAAGGAACACCAAGACUUCCUUCUAACUCAUAAUGUUAAGUCUGGUGAAUGCGUUCUGAAAUGUGUCUCUGGUAAUUUUGGAAAAUACAAGCAAUGCUCUUAUCUGUUUGCAUAUGAUGACUACAACAAGUAUCUAAUCGUUUGUUUCUAAUAAACUUGACAACCAAGUGAUUGUCUUCCUCUAAUAAUUGCAUCAAGUAUUUGAUUAUCUGACUCUGGUUAAUAAUGUAUGCUUUGAUGAAAAUCAACACUCUGAUGGAAGAUAAUGCUCUGAUGAUAGUCAACGCUCAGAAGAAGACAAUGUUUUUGUGCAUCCUUUGAUAAACACCCUAGAUCUAUUAUUUGUUUGAAGGUCUAUGAUAUAUGCUUUGUUUAUGGUAUCCUCUGCUCAUUAUGUCGUUGUAUCAAUAUACACAUAAUCAAUUACAAGAAUUCAAUUUGAAAAGUUUUAAAUGACGAAUCAAUCUCAUAAGAUUUGAUACGAAAAUACAUGAUACAUGUUGAUUUCUUGUAAUCAGGACAAAGACUAGAAACCCUAAAUAUCUCUAUAUAAGAACAUGCAAUGCUUACUUGCAAAACACAAGAAACAAUGCACAACAAUAAGCAUAAUACAUUUGUCUAUGCACUCUUGUUUUUAAUUUUUGUUUAACCUAGUGCUGAG